GUACAGGACAACAUCCGCAAGAUGGUACUGCGAGUGGCACAGGACAGCGACAAGAGUACAGCACAGUUUCGACUCUAACCAUCUCUGUCUCGGGACAGUGGCUGGGUGUCUAGGGACACGAUUAACAGGACAGGACAGUCACAGGACAGUGUCUGGGUAUCUCAGGAUACUAGUAACAGGACAGGACAGUCACAGGACAGUGGCUGUGUGUCACGGGAGAGUGGCUGGAUGUCUCGGGACACUUCUAACAGGACAGGACAGUCUCGGGACAGUGGCUGGGUGUCUCGGGACACUACUCGGGACAGUGGCUGGGUGUCUCGAGACACUGGUAACAGGCAUGCUUACCAGUAUUCCAGGUGUUGUUACAAGAGGCCCAUGGUAGAUCCCAAGAGAAAGAAAAGUAAAAAUAAAAAAUGCCCCACGCCAAAACAAUGAUGUAAUAGAAGUUCAACAGGCAGACAAUGACCUGUGUACCAUAACCAAGACCUAUGUAUGAAACAGAACAUAACAUUAUACAAUGAAUGCUGCAGCAGAAUAUCUUCUGUCAACAUGAUGAGAUCAAUAUACAACGCAGCAAAGAAAGCAGGUGAUGCCCCCUUCACUGGUGAACUGGCCGAGAGAAAUCUCCAGAAAAAACAGUGGUACUCCACAGGUGAAAAGGAAAAUCAGAUAAGGGAAGCGCCACAUGUUCCCCAGCCCAAUGAUGGACCCAGCAACCGACAGCAGAAACUCCAGCUUGUUGCUCCACUGGCC